UCAAAAAACUUUGGUCAAAUCUAAAAACAAAACAAUGGAAUGCGCUGACAACCGAAAAGCAACAUCGCCUUGCAACUGGGGGCGGUCCAUCAAUUCCAGAUUCUGAAGUUGAUCCUAUGAUAUUGCACUUAUUGCCCCAAACUUAAUUAAAACUGCACCGAUUUUAUUUUCUUCAAAUAUGUCUGAAGAAGAAGUUACUGGGACGUUUUCAUCUUUUUUUCCUUCUCUAAGUGUAAUGCUGUUGACUCAAUGGAAUGUGAAGAAUACAUAAGCCUUGAACAACUAUUCCCAGAUGAUGAGAAUGAUGGCAAUGAUGAUGAAGAAUUACCACGUGAACCCUCAUCGUCUAUUGUUACUAAAAAAUCGAAAAGAAUAAUCUAGGAAAGGAAGAGAAAAUCCACCCAAUGAAGACGAGAAAUUCUAUAGAAGCGAAAGGUUAAGAAAAAUAAUAAAGCAAGAAGAGGAAUUAUUUCAACUGAAAUGUCAACAUGAAGAAGAGAUACAUAAUCUAACAAUAGGAACACCUGAAACAAAAGUAUAAAUUAGAGAUUCGUGCAGCAACUGCUACAGCUGAACUAAGUAAGUUAAAUUUAUUAAGACAACAAAAUAAGAAUUAAGGGCAUGAUUGACAUGAUUUCUUCUGGAUGUUUCUAGUUUAUU